UACAGAGGUCUCAAGCGUUGUUCGGAUUCAUUGGGCGUAAAGGGUGCGUAGGCGGCGCGGUAAGUCGGGUGUGAAAUCUCGGAGCUUAACUCCGAAACUGCAUUCGAUACUGCCGUGCUUUGAGGACUGGAGAGGAGACUGGAAUUUACGGUGUAGCGGUGAAAUGCGUAGAUAUCGUAAGGAAGACCAGUGGCGAAGGCGGGUCUCUGGACAGUUCCUGACGCUGAGGCACGAAGGUCAGGGGAGCAAACGGGAUUAGAACCGUCGUUGU
rnacentral:rRNA from 1 species